AUAAAUCAUAUAUUAAAAUUAUUAAAAUAAUAAAGAAUAAACAACAAUAAUUAAAUUAUUAUAGUAGACUUCCAAAAAGGUCUACUAUGUUAUAGUAAGAUCUACUCCAAAAUUUUAAUUUUAGUAGACUUCAAACAAAGUCUACAGUAUCGUAAAUUUUAACCUAGUUACAUUUUUGUCUCCCUAUAUAAACAAAAUUUAUAC
rnacentral:lncRNA from 1 species